rnacentral:rRNA from 1 species
GAGGAGCUUGCUCCUCUGACGUUAGCGGCGGACGGGUGAGUAACACGUGGAUAACCUACCUAUAAGACUGGGAUAACUUCGGGAAACCGGAGCUAAUACCGGAUAAUAUAUUGAACCGCAUGGUUCAAUAGUGAAAGACGGUUUUGCUGUCACUUAUAGAUGGAUCCGCGCCGCAUUAGCUAGUUGGUAAGGUAACGGCUUACCAAGGCAACGAUGCGUAGCCGACCUGAGAGGGUGAUCGGCCACACUGGAACUGAGACACGGUCCAGACUCCUACGGGAGGCAGCAGUAGGGAAUCUUCCGCAAUGGGCGAAAGCCUGACGGAGCAACGCCGCGUGAGUGAUGAAGGUCUUCGGAUCGUAAAACUCUGUUAUUAGGGAAGAACAAAUGUGUAAGUAACUAUGCACGUCUUGACGGUACCUAAUCAGAAAGCCACGGCUAACUACGUGCCAGCAGCCGCGGUAAUACGUAGGUGGCAAGCGUUAUCCGGAAUUAUUGGGCGUAAAGCGCGCGUAGGCGGUUUUUUAAGUCUGAUGUGAAAGCCCACGGCUCAACCGUGGAGGGUCAUUGGAAACUGGAAAACUUGAGUGCAGAAGAGGAAAGUGGAAUUCCUUGUGAUACG